GAUGAACGCUGGCGGCGUGCCUAAUACAUGCAAGUCGAGCGAACAGACGAGGAGCUUGCUCCUCUGACGUUAGCGGCGGACGGGCGAGUAACACGUGGAUAACCUACCUAUAAGACUGGGAUAACUUCGGGAAACCGGAGCUAAUACCGGAUAAUAUAUUGAACCGCAUGGUUCAAUAGUGAAAGACGGUUUUGCUGUCACUUAUAGAUGGAUCCGCGCCGCAUUAGCUAGUUGGUAAGGUAACGGCUUACCAAGGCAACGAUGCGUAGCCGACCUGAGAGGGUGAUCGGCCUCACUGGAACUGAGACACGGUCCAGACUCCUACGGGAGGCAGCAGUAGGAAAUCUUCCGCAAUGGGCGAAAGCCUGACGGAGCAACGCCGCGUGAGUGAUGAAGGUCUUCGGAUCGUAAAACUCUGUUAUUAGGGAAGAACAAAUGUGUAAGUAACUAUGCACGUCUUGACGGUACCUAAUCAGAAAGCCACGGCUAACUACGUG
rnacentral:rRNA from 1 species